rnacentral:rRNA from 1 species
UACAGGGGGUGCAAACGUUGCUCGGAAUCAUUGGGCGUAAAGCGCACGUAGGCGGCCUGUUAAGUCGGGUGUGAAAGCCCUGGGCUCAACCCAGGAAGUGCACUCGAAACUGGCGGGCUUGAAUAUGGAAGAGGGUCGCGGAAUUCCCGGUGUAGAGGUGAAAAUUCGUAGAUAUCGGGAGGAACACCAGUGGCGAAAGGCGGCGACCUGGG